AUUGAACGCUGGCGGCAGGCCUAACACAUGCAAGUCGAACGAGUGGCGGACGGGUGAGUAAUGUCUGGGAAACUGCCCGAUGGAGGGGGAUAACUACUGGAAACGGUAGCUAAUACCGCAUACCAUCGGAUGUGCCCAGAUGGGAUUAGCUAGUAGGUGGGGUAACGGCUCACCUGGGCGACGUUCCCUAGCUGGUCUGAGAGGUUGACCAGCGACACUGGAACUGGUACACGGUCCAGACUCCUACGGGAGGCAGCAUUGGGGAAUAUUGCACAAUGGGCGCAAGCCUGAUGCAGCCAUGCCGGGUGUAUGAAGGAGGCCUUCGGGUUGUAAAGUACUUUCAGCGGGGAAGCGUUACCCGCAGAGGAAGCACCGGCUAACUCCGUGCCAGCAGCCGCGGUAAUUC
rnacentral:rRNA from 1 species